GCCCGGCUAGCUCAGUCGGUAGAGCAUGGGA
rnacentral:piRNA from 9 species